rnacentral:rRNA from 1 species
AACGAACGCUGGCGGCGUGGAUAAGACAUGCAAGUCGAACGGGACAUUAUUUGUAGCAAUACAGAUGAUGUUCAGUGGCGCAAGGGUGCGUAACACGUGAGCAAUCUGCCUUGAAGUGGGGAAUAGCUCGCCGAAAGGCGAAUUAAUACCGCAUGUGGUAGCAAUACUAAAGCCGGGGCAACCUGGCGCUUCUUGAUGAGCUCGCGGCCUAUCAGCUAGUUGGUGAGGUAAUAGCUCACCAAGGCUAUGACGGGUAGCUGGUCUGAGAGGACGACCAGCCACACUGGAACUGAGACACGGUCCAGACACCUACGGGUGGCAGCAGUCGAGAAUUUUUCUCAAUGGGGGAAACCCUGAAGGAGCGACGCCGCGUGGAGGAUGAAGGUCUUCGGAUUGUAAACUCCUGUCAUUGGUGAACAAAGUCACAAGUUAACUGCUUUGUGAUCUGCUAGUAGCCGAAGAGGAAGAGACGGCUAACUCUGUGCCAGCAGCCGCCGUAAUAC